GGGGAUGUUUAUGGAUUCGCUAUGGUUAGUGAAGUUGUAUAAGCAUGUGGUGGGAUUAUCGGCCACCUUAAAAACGUCGAGGUUUCUGUUAUAAACGCAGAAGAAAACAAUAACGAGUAUGCAUUCUUAGCAGCACGUUCAAACGCAGCAGCUAACUUUGCAUACGCUUGCUAAUUAGGAUAUAUUAGCACAUCACCCUAGAGAGCUCCUAUGGCUCUAGGCUUUGAUGCUCAACUUUAAUAGGAUAUAUCUAAAUGCUGCUAUUCUAAGUGUAUAGACGAAAUUAAUAGAAUGUAGUCAAGAAUUGGUUUGUUCAUUCGCUUUAUUCUUGAUGAAACUUUAGGAUGAACUAAACAUGUAGAAGGUAUUAUGGAUCUUGCCGUAUACCGGAGUUCGAGUCUCCGCAUCUCCACCA
rnacentral:tmRNA from 1 species